GUCUGUUUUCCUCUGUGGAGACCUCUUGAUAUGAUACGAGCUGUCAACAGAAACUCCAACAACAUUCACACAGACGCAUAUAUUCAUAAGCUUUGGAGUCCUGAGAGAAAUUAGGCUUUAAUUUUCAGCUCAUUUCUAUUCCCUUAGUCUUGCGUUGCCAUAACUCAAAAAUCAUAUCGUUGUCGCGCCUUCCUGGGAGGUCUGGAUAAUUUUGUUUUGGAAAAAUGGUUUGAAUGGUCCACUGGCUCCCAGCAGCAAGAUUUGGAUUGGAUGUUACAUUUCAAGGACCUUGCCCCACACACCCGUAGAUGGGCUGCUGGAUGUUAUGUGCAUCACUGUGUUCCAUGCAGAUUGUUGUUGUUGCAUAUGCUAGUUUCAGGUGCUAGUUUUCAAGUUUUUAAGUGUGGCCGACAGUCUGUUUCAUAUUUAUUGGAAUUGAAAGUGGAUUACGCUGGUAAAGUCAAACACAUUCACAUUCUACACAUUAUAAACCUUUCUGGUGACAAACACUUUUUUCCUUGUCCACAUGGCUGCUGGCUGCACUUUGCUACCACCAAAAAUAUUGUGAAGAUUAACAAAAUAAAGGGCAAUGUAAGGACACCAAAAAAUGGAGACAGUAGGAGAACCUAUUCAAAAUCGGUCAUAUGGACACCAAAACAUUAUUUUACUGCACAAGAGUAGAAGUUAACAAAAGUGCACAAAGCUGUCAUCAAGGCAAAGGCUAUGGAAAGCUGUGAAAGCCUGUUUGCAGAUGAAGAGAGAGGUCCCAAUGAACGUCCCAAGAGACUAAGGUUAUCUCCUAUACGCCAUGGGUUAUAUGUGUAGGCCUUUAACUGUAAACAGUUAAACAUCACACAUACAAUGUAUAAACUGAUUACAAUUGGAGCAGGUCAACCCUGCUGGAGGUCUGCUGGUUGUGCAGGCUUCUGUUUCAGCGCACUAAUCUCCCACCUGAUUUAAUGUAUCUAAUCUAAUGAGUUGAGAAUUCUGCUCACCCAGUAGAUCAGGGAUCAGUGGAUCAAGGUUAACCACCGCUGGAAUGGAGGUUGUUUUGUUCACCUGAAAUGAUGCUUUAGUAAUAAUAGCCUACUUGUUACUACUCAAUGAACUAUUGUUGUUUACACUAAGAUGUAUAAUCUUUACGAGUUAGCUUAUUUGUACUCUUUGAAGUGAUGAAGUAUUGAUUCUUUGAAGUGAAGUGUUUAAACUUGAUUUAAUUGUUAAACCAUUCAAAAUGAACAAGUGUCAAUGUUGACUAAUCGCAUAUCACAAUCCUGCAAUA